rnacentral:misc_RNA from 1 species
AACUUUUAGCAACGGAUCUCUUGGUUCUCGCAUCGAUGAAGAACGCAGCGAAAUGCGAUAAGUAAUGUGAAUUGCAGAAUUCGGUGAAUCAUCGAAUCUUUGAACGCAACGUUCGCUCCUUGGUACUCUGAUGAGCAUGCCUGUUUGAGUGUCAUUAAACGUCUUCUCAACCCAUCCAGUUUCUCUGUGUGUGCGCUUUGGAAAAAUGGGCGCUUGCUGGUUCACUAUUUGUCAAGCUCUUCUAAAAAGCAUCAGCGGCAUCUGGGCUGCUUGCAGGUGUGAUAACUUGUCUACAUCUUAGCAGUGGAUGCAUCUGUGAUGCUUUCGAGGGAAAUGAUGAAAUUUGACUCCAAACCUGCUAGGUCUACCCGCUGGACUAAAGCAUCUCAAUCAGAGGAGGCU